AUUGAACGCUGGCGGCAUGCUUUACACAUGCAAGUCGAACGGUAACAGGCCGCAAGGUGCUGACGAGUGGCGAACGGGUGAGUAAUGCAUCGGAACGUGCCCAGUCGUGGGGGAUAACUACUCGAAAGAGUAGCUAAUACCGCAUACGAUCUAUGGAUGAAAGCGGGGGACCGUAAGGCCUCGCGCGAUUGGAGCGGCCGAUGUCAGAUUAGGUAGUUGGUGGGGUAAAGGCUCACCAAGCCAACGAUCUGUAGCUGGUCUGAGAGGACGACCAGCCACACUGGGACUGAGACACGGCCCAGACUCCUACGGGAGGCAGCAGUGGGGAAUUUUGGACAAUGGGCGCAAGCCUGAUCCAGCAAUGCCGCGUGCAGGAAGAAUGCCUUCGGGUUGUAAACUGCUUUUGUGCGGAACGAAACGGCUCUGGUUAAUACCCGGGGCUAAUGACGGUACCGUAAGAAUAAGCACCGGCUAACUACGUG
rnacentral:rRNA from 1 species